rnacentral:rRNA from 1 species
GACGAACGCUGGCGGCGUGCUUAACACAUGCAAGUCGAACGGUGAAGCGCCUUCCUUUUUGGUGGGUGUGGAUGAGUGGCGAACGGGUGAGUAACACGUGAGUAACCUGCCCCCUUCUUCUGGAUAACCGCAUGAAAGUGUGGCUAAUACGGGAUAUUCUGGGUCUGUCGCAUGAUGGGUCUGGGAAAGAUAUUGUUUCGGUGGGGGAUGGGCUCGCGGCCUAUCAGCUUGUUGGUGGGGUGAUGGCCUACCAAGGCGGUGACGGGUAGCCGGCCUGAGAGGGUGGCCGGUCACACUGGGACUGAGCCACGGCCCGGACUCCUACGGGAGGCAGCAGUGGGGAAUAUUGCACAAUGGGCGCAAGCCUGAUGCAGCGACGCCGCGUGAGGGAUGGAGGCCUUCGGGUUGUGAACCUCUUUCGCCAGUGAAGCAGGCCUGCCUCGUUUGUGGGUGGGUUGACGGUAGCUGGAUAAGAAGCGCCGGCUAACUACGUG